rnacentral:rRNA from 1 species
GGUUUAAGGGUCCGUAGGCGGUUUAGUAAGUCAGUGGUGAAGCCCAUCGAAAACGGUGGAACGGCCAUUGAUACUGCUGAACUUGAAUUAUUAGGAAGUAACUAGAAUAUGUAGUGUAGCGGUGAAAUGCUUAGAGAUUACAUGGAAUACCAAUUGCGAAGGCAGGUUACCACUAAUGGAUUGACGCUGAUGGACGAAAGCGUGGGUAGCGAACAGGAUUAGAUACCCUGGUAGUCCACGCCGUAAACGAUGGAUACUAGCUGUUGGGAGCAAUUUCAGCUGGCUAAGCGAAAGUGAUAAGUAUCCCACCUGGGGAGUACGUUCGCAAGAAUGAAACUCAAAGGAAUUGACGGGGGCCCGCACAAGCGGUGGAGCAUGUGGUUUAAUUCGAUGAUACGCGAGGAACCUUACCAAGGCUUAAAUGUAGUUUGACCGAUUUGGAAACAGAUCUUUCGCAAGACAAAUUACAAGGUGCUGCAUGGUUGUCGUCAGCUCGUGCCGUGAGGUGUCAGGUUAAGUCCUAUAACGAGCGCAACCCCUGUUGUUAGUUGCCAGCGAGUAGUGUCGGGAACUCUAACAAGACUGCCAGUGCAAACUGUGAGGAAGGUGGGGAUGACGUCAAAUCAUCACGGCCCUUACGCCUUGGGCUACACACGUGCUACAAUGGCCGGUACAGAGAGCAGCCACUGUGUGAGCAGGAGCGAAUCUAUAAAGCCGGUCACAGUUCGGAUCGGAGUCUGCAACUCGACUCCGUGAAGCUGGAAUC